GCCAUCUACUGUAACAUAGCGCACUUAGCGCCACCAAGUGGUGGAUAGCUCUUUGCUAAUAAUAAACAAAUAAUUUGCAAUAAAUAAAUAAUGCGACUAUAAGGAGAGUUAUAAACUAUCCUAUCUUUCAAGUUGGACCAAACUGCCCACAGUGUUAAAAAUUUCAUUAAAAUCGGUUCAGUAGUUUAGGAGUCCAUCGAAAACAAACAACGUGACACAUAUUGAAAACACAAAGGCGUUAGGCGUCAAUUGGUAAUACCAAGUGAAGACAGGUCCUUCUCCACCAGGUUCUUCCAUCGGAGUGGAGGUUUCCCUCUUCCUCGGCUUCCACCGGCGGGUACCUCAUCGAAAACUUUGCCGUCUCAGUGCCGUCUCAUCGGAUGCUGACAUCGUCCACGCUCCUUGUAGAGUUUAGUUUUUGCUCAUCGAGAGAGGACUUUACUUUUUAAUUGCCUAAUCAGACCAUAAACACAAAUACUUUGCACAAAUGGAGGAUUACCAUAGCUACAACUUUUCUUAGGCAUGAUAAACAAUACAACAACAAAUCCCAUCGGACAUUUAGAUUAGCAGUUGCACAACCUCUUUCCGACGAGCUGAACCUUUUUAUGAUGUACAUAUGGGAUAGGAUUGUGUGGAAUUGGCAUCAAACAAUAUUGGUUCAUUAGUUUCGUUGCAUCCUUACAGGAUAGUUAUAAGGAAAUUAAAAUAUUAUUAAAUUAUACAAAUGAAUGUUCGAAUACUAAUAACAUUCGUAAUAGUAAUGGAAUUAUAUUUGAAUUGUAUAACAACAACUACAAAAAAUAAAAAUAUAAUAAUUAAUACUAAAUUUAUAUAUGAAAUAUGUUAAAAGUAAAAAUUUAAUAAUUAAUACUAACUUUAUUUUUAAAAUAUGUAAAUUUUGUCAAUGCAUAAAUAUAAAUGUGU